AGUGAACGCUGGCGGUAGGCCUAACACAUGCAAGUCGAACGGCAGCACAGUAAGAGCUUGCUCUUACGGGUGGCGAGUGGCGGACGGGUGAGGAAUACAUCGGAAUCUACUUUUUCGUGGGGGAUAACGUAGGGAAACUUACGCUAAUACCGCAUACGACCUACGGGUGAAAUCAGGGGAUCUUCGGACCUUGCGCGAUCGAAUGAGCCGAUGUCGGAUUAGCUAGUUGGCGGGGUAAAGGCCCACCAAGGCGACGAUCCGUAGCUGGUCUGAGAGGAUGAUCAGCCACACUGGAACUGAGACACGGUCCAGACUCCUACGGGAGGCAGCAGUGGGGAAUAUUGGACAAUGGGCGCAAGCCUGAUCCAGCCAUACCGCGUGGGUGAAGAAGGCCUUCGGGUUGUAAAGCCCUUUUGUUGGGAAAGAAAAGCAGCAGGUUAAUACCCCGCUGUUCUGACGGUACCCAAAGAAUAAGCACCGGCUAACUUCGUG
rnacentral:rRNA from 1 species